GGCGAACAAGUAAACAUUUCAAUGGUUGAGUGAAUAGAUAUGUUAGUAUGCGGUCGGUAGGGAGCGAGGCUAAGUUGAAUUGAUGCUUCAACGGAAUAUUGAAGAAUUUGCAUCGGCAAUAUAAGAAGGUUCAGUGUCAUCAGAUUGAAUUGGAAGAUUUUAAUGGUUAUCUGGACAAUGUAUGUGUGGAGAUCGAGCAUGCGGAAGCCAUGAAGAGUGACAGCGGAAAAACCUUCGCUGUUGAAACUAUGGGCCCGUGGAGUGAAGAAGCAUUAAAUUUCGUAGACAAAAUCGGCCAGAAACUACAAGAGUUGACUGGAGACAAAAGAUCAAAAUUCUUUCUAAUACAGAGAAUGUCAAUGGAAAUACAAAGACACAACGCCGCUUGUAUUAUGGGCACAAUUUCCCUGA